rnacentral:lncRNA from 1 species
AACUGUUACUAGUAGUGCUUCAUCUGUGGAUCCAUUUAAGCAAUUGGAAGGGCUUCUCGACCCAACUCAAGCUACUUCAGCUGCGAAUCAUGGUGCUGUUGAUAAUACCAAAGCAGCUGAUAUUAUGUCAAUGUAUUCAGAGUUCCCUCCAAGUGGGCAGAGCAGUGUUAUUGCAAAUCCUUUUACCACUAAUGCAGGUGAUGCUAAUCUUAUACCUGGUUUGUCAACCACGAACAAAACUGGGCAUGCUAAGGGCCCAAACCCUAGAGAUGCCUUAGAAAAAGACGCACUGGUGAGGCAAAUGGGCGUGACCCCAAUGAGCCAGAAUCCCAACUUGUUCAAGGAUUUGCUUGGCUAAAAGUCA